CAUCAGCCUGCAUGUAUCUUUUGUAUUCUUCUUUUAGUCCUGAGUAUAAGGACCUUUCUUUUGACCGGUGGGCUUAAAGAAUUUGAGUUUGUGAGGGAGGCCCAUAGUGUAUGUGAGUAGCAGUCUGAUGAUACUUGGCGAAUGUUUUUUUAUGACGAGGGAAGAGCUAUUAUCAUGUGCAAUGACAAUUUUCAAGUGACUAGUUGCUAGUUUGGCUAGUACUUAUGUAGUAUGGGAAAUAUGCACAUGUAUGUCCAUGUGAUAUUUAAGCAUGCUUCCUGAGUACCUGAUACAGAGCUUUGUAGCUGGUAUUCUUUGUCCGAUAAUCUAUGGCCUGCUGGGUAGUUGAAAAAUUGAAUAUUUACAGUACGUGUAUUGGUAAGUUUCUUGUAGUUUCAGAUACAUAUGAAUCCAUCUGUCAUUUAUCAGUUCAUUCUGAAGAUAAAACUCAUAUGUAUAUGUUGCUUCACUUUCCUGUGCUCAUGUACAUAACAGGCUAGCUGGAUGUAAUGAGAAACAACUUAUCUCUUUUUUGCUGUUACAGGGUGGUCACCGAACGGGCACCACCGUACUCUACGGCUUUACAGAACCAUCAUGGUUUGGCGGUGUUGUUUUACCGGGCAUGCCUUUGGCGAGCAACGCGUGGAGACGCCACCGUCCAUCACGAGUUGAGUUUUGGCAGCGAAGCAGCUCUGCUUGUGCCGUCAUUCACUCCCAUGUGGGGCCUCCGGCGGCCGCUUCUUCUUCCACUACGACAUAGGAAGUAUGACAGGCUACGGAAAGAGGAGGAGGAAAAGAAAGCUGAAUGUUCAACUUGUUUAGAGGACUAGCCUUUCUUCCUUGAAAGAAAGGCUGAAAGUAUACAAGCUUUUUAUUGCCCAGGGAUCAUGUCAACAUAUAUUGAUUGACUAGGCAAACAUUAUUAUACUUUCCCUAACAAAAAAAAGUCUACAUGCAUGCGCAACAACAUAUAAAUUUGCUCAUCCUACUUCAGAAUCGUGUAUGCAUUGGAAAUAGAAGAAAGGACCAUGCAUAUGCAUCUAUUUUCAGCACAUGUUCUCCUCCCGGAAGAAAUAAAGCACCACCCCAUUUAGUAAACGGAAAAUAUUUUAGUGUGGGUGGACCAGAGAAAGAAAAAAACAUCUCCAGUGCCUAUCUACGCUUGCCCUGCCAUGUCUGCUGCCAUGUUCUGCUUUGCCUUUGGUAUGGCAAGUGUAUGUGUGCGCUACCAACCUCAACAGAUGAAAAAUGUAUACGUUUGCAUGUAUAUGUACUUACCUAGUGAAAGCAAACAUUUUUCUCUCUCCCGGUCUCAGUGUGCCCUAGAUUUUGAGUGCAUGAAUAAAUAAACGGAUUUAUGAUAUGAAUCAUACUUGAUCUUCUCUAUUUCUGAAAUAAGUGGGCCUAUAGAAACCCCCCUUGUUGAUAUACAGAGGAGGAGAGGAUGAAUUCACUCAAUCACACAAAAAUUAGUUAGACUUCCAAGCACAAAGAAAAAUGAAUGAAUUGCUCUCACGUAUUUACAUUUUGCAUGUUUCUUAUUCUUCCCUUGCGAUAUCUCAGUUGUGCUAGUGAAAUUUGGCCGGGACUUUGCUAACAAAACAUGAAGUGUAGUACUGACAAUAGUUGGCUGUUGGGAGCCCGACCUUGUUUUCUAGUUCAUGUUGUCUUAUGUAUGUUUGCACAAUACAAUAUGCUCAUGUGUUCCUUAUGUUGGUGAUUUUGCAGGAAGUAUGACAUGCUGCGGAAAGAGGAGGAAAAGAAAGCAGAGUGUUCAUUGUUUAGAGGACUAGCCUUUCUUCUUCCUUGAAAGAAAGGCUGGAAGGGAGGUGCCUGACUUGAUGGUGAGGACGACGAAUAAAUCUAUGCCCUGUGUCCACAAGGAAGUUUGAUCUUGAGGAGGGCGAUAAGACGAUGGAUGCAGCUAGUAGCUCCACUUGGUCGAAAUUGGGCGGCCGCUGGAUGUGUGAUGGUUUUAUGGUGGUUUGGAUCAGUUCUGGUGAGCCCCUACUGGUCUUGGCCUGUCUUGUAUGCAUCACAAGUGUUGUCUACUCCUCCGUAGGAGUGGCGCGUUGAUAAAUGCAGACUCAAGAAGAUGUUCCUUGCUGGAGAAGAGAUGGGGUGUGUUAUGAUGGAUGGCAUCGUCGGCCGGUCGAUGUAGGCGUUAGAUUCAUGAGCUUAGUUGGAUCUUGGUGGUGGUGUUGCUUUUGGAAUUGUGAUGAAAAGCCAGCUUGUUUGCUGCAAGUGUUUGACUGUUGUUAGUCAUCCCUCAUGGAUUUGGAAUCUUGAUCUAGUGUACUUGUUUGGUUUGGAAUUUUUAUACAAGCGUGCAUCUCUUUCCACAUGUUAUGCUGCCAAAAUUUCCAGUGAAUAAUUUUCCGACUUGUCUAAAUUUUGUCCUUGUUUGUAAGAAAAUGAAAAUGUUUGGGUUCUCACUGCAAAAUGUUAGGGUGCUGACUGCAAUUUCAAAGAUAAUAUUGUCUGGAGUCAAUUGUUACACAGAGGGUACGAUUA